rnacentral:rRNA from 1 species
AGCAGCCGCGGUAAUUCCAGCUCCAAUAGCGUAUAUUAAAGUUGUUGCAGUUAAAAAGCUCGUAGUUGAAUUUCGGGAUCAAUGUAUUGGUCAUGCUUAGGUAUGUACUGGUAUUAUUGAUUUCUCCCUUCUGAAGAACCAUAAUGUCAUUAAUUUGAUGUCAUGGGGAAUCAGGACUGUUACUUUGAAAAAAUUAGAGUGUUUAAAGCAGGCUUUCGCUUGAAUACAUUAGCAUGGAAUAAUGAAAUAGGACGUUUGAUUCUAUUUUGUUGGUUUCUAGGAUCGACGUAAUGAUUAAUAGGGAUAGUUGGGGGCAUUAGUAUUCAAUUGUCAGAGGUGAAAUUCUUGGAUUUAUUGAAGACUAACUACUGCGAAAGCAUUUGCCAAGGAUGUUUUCAUUAAUCAAGAACGAAAGUUAGGGGAUCGAAGACGAUCAGAUACCGUCGUAGU